rnacentral:rRNA from 1 species
AUUGCACGCUGGCGGCAGGCCUAAUACAUGCAAGUCGAGCGAGCGGCGGACGGGUGAGUAAUGUAUGGGGACUGCCCGAUAGAGGGGGAUAACUACUGGAAACGGUGGCUAAUACCGCAUACUAUCGGAUAACCCAUAUGGGAUUGGCUCGUAGGUGGGGUAAAGGCUCACCUAGGCGACGAUCCCUAGCUGGUCCGAGAGGAUGAUCAGCCAAACUGGGUCGGAAAACCGGCCCAGACUCUUACGGAGGCAUCAGGGGGGAAUAUUGCACAAUGGGCGCAAGCCGGCUGCAGCCAUGCCGCUGGUAUGAAGAAGGCCGUAGGGUUUUAAAGUACGUUCAGCGGGGAGGCGUUACCCGCAGAAGAAGCACCGGCUAACUCCGUGCCAGCAGCCGCGGUAAUAC